CACCAUCACCACCAGCAACACCAUCAUCUUCAUCUUCUCCCACACAAACCACCACCAGCAACACCAUCGCCACCAGCAAACACCAUCAUCCCCAACACCACUUCCUUACGCACUUCUCCUUCUUCGAAUUGUUUUUGUUCCCCUCAAUUUUUUACCCCCAAUUUUGUGCCCUAACCUAAUCGUAACAUCAACUCUUCUCAACUCUCCAUGUGAUUUUUUGAUUUCACCCUUCUCGUCUGUUUGCUUUUCUUCAAUUGCGUGCCCUAAAUUGAUAUAUACAUAUAUUCUUCUUUCUUUACUGUUGCCUUCACCACCACCACUACCCUCCUCCGCCACCACCACUAAUAACAAACAACUCUGUUACGUACAACUGGAACUGAAGUGAAAUUGAAAAUUAGCAUGCAUUGAAAUUGGAUUUGUCAAAAUUGGUCUUGCUACCAACUUCGAUUUCAAUUUAUACUAAUUUCGUUUUCAUGAAGUAGAAAUGUGAUAAAGGAAUCUGUGACUCUGUGAAGUGAAUGCAAGUUUUAGGGGAAAAAAAAUGGCUAUAAAUAACCAGUCGUAUGUGGUUGGUGCAAAUGUGAUGGGUGUUCUAACAUAUCUACCAAGUCUGCACUAAAUGAAGCGCGCCAACGAUCACCGGUGCAUGAUGCGUGUCUCUCCAGUACCGCAAGUUUGACUAAAUUGCAUGAUACUAGCCACAGAUGUUAUAAAGAUGAAGGGAAAGGGGAAGGGUGCACUUGGCAGGAAAGCCAUUAAUUUGGAUUCAGGUAUUUAGUUGCUAAACACCUCUAUCCCAUUACACAUUUAAGUGCAUUUCUUCUUUUAUAAAAUCCCAAAGUUACUUUACAGGUUUGUCCUUAUGAAUGGUUCUUUUUUCUUUUUCAUGAAGCUUACUUGACAAAAGAAUGCUUCGAAGAGCCAGUGGUUUCACAUAUCACUAAACCCAUCUUUUGCCAAUUUAAUUUCUUAGAUUUAUACUUAAUAUUUAAAGAUUAUAAAAAAGUUAUUCUUUUGACAAAAGAAUUCACCAGUGUAUGUUAAAAUUCUUUUAGUCUUGGAUUUAAGGUUCAAAGCAUCUGUAUUGGUUGUUUAUGGUUAUUAAUUACGCAUCAAUAGUUUGCAUUGGUUCUUUAUGUGUGUUUGUUAACCAUGUACCAGAUGAUGAUUGAUGAAAUUUAUUUAUCUUGCACCUUUUUAUUGUUUCAAUAGUCCUGAUGUCAUGGACAAAGGUGCUAAUUAUGUCAGUAAUGUUUAUGUUUAUUCUCUUACAAGUUGUGUACUUUUAUAUGUGAAUACUUCUCUUUCAAUUUAUACUUGAGAUGAACCGCAAAGGCAUGAUCCAAAGAGAGAGUGGAAUGUCCAGGAAGCCUGAUUUUGCAAUGAAGCUCGGUGGCGCAAAGGCAUGGUCCAAAGAUACAGUAAAAUGCCCAGAAAACCUGAUAUUUUUUUAAUGAAGUUAUGUGGCGCUACCAUACACUUAAUCGCGUUCAUGAGGUUCUUGCUUCGCCAAGCCAUCAUCUACCUGUAGUCUUUUAACUUGGCAAUCGUGAUUUGUCAAUGCAUAUGUUUUAAGCCUUUAGUACAAUAAUUAUGCACUAAAAAGGUAGCUGACAAGUAGAAAAUGAAUUGUCCUACUCUUAAGUCUUAAGAAAUUAUGCCAUCAUCUGCAGGUCGAAAAAUUAGUAUGGCUGAU